rnacentral:rRNA from 1 species
AGAGUUUGAUCCUGGCUCAGAUUGAACGCUGGCGGCGUGGCUAAAGCAUGCAAGUCGAGCGAACCCGCAAGGGUGAGCGGCGAAAGGGUCAGUAACACGAUCGAACGUCCCCUGAGGUGGAGGAUAGCGGUGGGAAACUGCCGGUAAUACUCCAUGAUCUCUCCGGAGCAAAGGUUUACCGCCUUGGGAUCGGCGAUCGUCCUAUCAGCUAGUUGGCGGGGUAACGGCCCACCAAGGCGAUGACGGGUAGCAGGUGUGAGAGCACGACCUGCGACAUCGGAACUGAGACACUGUCCGGACUCCUACGGGAGGCUGCAGCGACGAAUCUUCCGCAAUGGGCGCAGGCCUGACGGAGCGACGCCGCGUGUGGGAUGAAGCGCCUACGGCGUGUAAACCACUGUCAGGGGGUAGAACCAAUGAUCACCCCCAGAGGAAGAGACGGCUAACCCUGUGCCAGCAGCCGCGGUAAGACAGGGGUCUCGAGCGUUAAUCGGAAUUACUGGGCUUAAAGGGUACGUAGGUGGGUCCGCAAGUGCUCCGUGAAAUCCCCCGGCUCAACCGGGGAACUGCGGGGCAUACUGCGGGCCUUGAGGAAGGUAGGCGCCGGGGGAACAGUAGGUGGAGCGGUGAAAUGCGUAGAUAUCUACUGGAACGCCGAUGGUGAAGACGCCCGGCUGGGCCUUUCCUGACACUGAGGCACGAAAGCGUGGGGAGCAAACAGGAUUAGAUACCCUAGUAGUCC